GUCUAUGGUCAUACCACCCUGAAUGCACCUAAUCUUGUCUGGUCUUGGAAGCUAACGAGGGUCAGGCCUGGUUAGUACUUGGACAGGAGAAUAAAUCCUUAGAGA
rnacentral:rRNA from 1 species